CUUAUAAAUAGGGUCGAAAUUACUUAAGUCAACUUAAAGAUUCAUGGACGACUAUUCAAUUAAGGUAUUAUCAUGAAUCGGGAUAUCGUUGGUGAUUGCAUACCGAAAUCUUUUUAUCAAAUCAACUACAAGAAUAAGAGACGUAGAAGAAGAGUUAACUAAUGAUAGUAGUGAACGGAAUGACGCUUUAUCUGAGUUGAUUAGAAGAAACAUUGAAAUGUUAACUAAAUUGGUAAAAAAAGACACAGAUAAGUUAAUGACGUGGAUUUUAGGAGAAGACCAAACAAAACACAAAUGGAAGAAAGGAGAUACAAAUUCGUUUCCUGGAUCUAUAAAGUUUCAAAUGUUAUCAAUGAACACAAACUCAUUGUUGUUAACGUACCGAAUUAUAGUUUUACAAAACACAACGGCCGAUAAAGAAACUUUAAUAAAACGGGUUGGAGAAAACGAAAAAAAUGUUUACUGUAAGUAGCGAGGAAAACAAAAAAAAAACAUUAUCUGAAUGGAUAAGUGAAAAUCAGCAAACGAUAAAUGUAUCAAUCACAAAAGACACAACGACGUUUACCGACAUGAUAAAAGGGCUCAACGACAAGUUAGAAAAAAAGACUAAAAGACAUCAAAACUUUAACUGAAAUGAAAGGGCUGUCAUCUAGUAACACGUACAGACAUUAUAAUAUUGUAUUAUCGAAAACAAGCAAUAAGGAAACGAUGACUGAUAUGAUAAGACACGACAAGGGAGCAAGGGCCCUGUUUGAACCAGGAUGUUCAACUGCCUUAAAUAUAACUUCAACAAAAGUGGAACUAACAUGGGAUGAACCAGGUGUAGGUGCUGGUUUUAUGGACUUUUAUAAGAUAAUGUGUGAAGAAAAACGCAUCUGUGUAACAUGUUUCUUUGAAACUCCUAGCAAUUUUAGCAAGUAUAUCGUAGAAGGAUUAAAGCCCAACACUGAGUAUGCAUUUAAAAUUCAAAGAGUCAAGAACGGUCAAAAUAAAGGUCCCAUCAGUAAAACCUUUGCAGUAUCAACAUCGGAAAUUUCUUUUGAUAGAAUGGCCGAGUCAUUAUAUGUUUUGUUUUAUAUUGUAGUGUUAAUAUGGUUUACAUACUUAUUUUGUUAUACUUUGACAAUUACAUAAAUGAUAAGAGCGAUCAUGAAAACAUCCAUUAUUAUUCGCGAGAACUUAAAAGAUGAUAAAAUCAUCAUAUAUUGUAUUGAAUAAAAAAAUCGAAUGCAUGAAUGUUGAUUGCAAUUUCACAGUUGUAAAACAGUGAGUAAAUAUAAAUUCAUUUUUUUUUUCAAUGGACGAUAAACGAGACUUUUUCCUUCCACAUAAUGUAACAAGUUGUUCAAAUUAUUAUAUAGAAAAAUACACUUUAAUAACAAAAUAAACAGAUUAAAUCAUCAUUUGUUUGACGACACAUUGAUAUAUAUGUCACCAUGUAGAAGAACGGCGAAAGGGACAUUCAAACUCAUAAGUGGAAAAUAAAUUGUCAAUGCCA